CAGGAGUUUGCCAACUAAGCCUUUCUGUUCUUAAUAGCCUGGCAGUUUAGAGAGUGAAGAGCUAUUUCUGCUACUGGAAGAGGACUUGGGGAAGUGUUUAUGAGAGCUGCUAACAGCUAAUUUACAAAUUGCAGUUCUUAUUUGAGAUUGUUGUGCUUUAGCAUCCAUUCAAGCAUCUUUCUUAGCCAGUAUCAAACACAAGGGGCAAAACCCCUGUGCCUGAGCUGCAGCUGAGUUCAGUGGAAGAGCCAUGAGCCAGGAUGUGUGUUGCCACUGCAGCAGAGCUGUGGCCACCAGAAGAAGGACCCGAGCAGCCUCCUGCUGAUAUAACCUCAAUUUCCCACCAAGCCUGAGCAUUUCUGACAGCUGAAAGCAUUUACCAGCGGACUGCUGAGCACAUCAAGAUGGAUACAGUUCUCUUGCUGUUUGGAUUGGGAGGAGUACAGUCUUCUCCUGAUGCUGACCAGGUGCACUGAAGUGAUGAGCUGCCAGAGGGUGGGGCACAGGACACCAGGGACCAGCAAAGCCUUUUCUGCACCUCUCAUGCCACUGAAGAGCCAUCACUCCGAUCAGAAACUGAAAUCCUGCUUUGUGCUCCUCCAGUGUGGAAAUCUGUCAGGUAAAUAGAAAUCACCUCGUAAAAGCCCUUAAACAGC
rnacentral:lncRNA from 1 species